UGGCUCAGGAUGAACGCUAGCUACAGGCUUAACACAUGCAAGUCGAGGGGCAUCAGGAAGAAAGCUUGCUUUCUUUGCCGGCGACCGGCGCACGGGUGAGUAACACGUAUCCAACCUGCCCUUUACUCGGGGAUAGCCUUUCGAAAGAAAGAUUAAUACCCGAUGGCAUAAUGAUUCCGCAUGGUUUCAUUAUUAAAGGAUUCCGGUAAAGGAUGGGGAUGCGUUCCAUUAGGUUGUUGGUGAGGUAACGGCCCACCAAGCCUUCGAUGGAUAGGGGUUCUGAGAGGAAGGUCCCCCACAUUGGAACUGAGACACGGUCCAAACUCCUACGGGAGGCAGCAGUGAGGAAUAUUGGUCAAUGGGCGCUAGCCUGAACCAGCCAAGUAGCGUGAAGGAUGAAGGCUCUAUGGGUCGUAAACUUCUUUUAUAUAAGAAUAAAGUGCAGUAUGUAUACUGUUUUGUAUGUAUUAUAUGAAUAAGGAUCGGCUAACUCCGUGCCAGCAGCCGCGGUAAUACGGAGGAUCCGAGCGUUAUCCGGAUUUAUUGGGUUUAAAGGGAGCGUAGGUGGACUGGUAAGUCAGUUGUGAAAGUUUGCGGCUCAACCGUAAAAUUGCAGUUGAUAUUGUCAUUCUUGAGUACAGUAGAGGGUGGGCGGAAUUCGUGGGGUAGCGGGGAAAUGCUUAGAUAUCAGGAAGAGCUUCGAUUGGGAAGGCAGCUCACUGGACUGCAACUGACACUGAUGCUCGAAAGUGUGGGUAUCAAACAGGAUUAGAUACCCUGGUAGUCCACACAGUAAACGAUGAAUACUCGCUGUUUGCGAUAUACAGUAAGCGGCCAAGCGAAAGCAUUAAGUAUUCCACCUGGGGAGUACGCCGGCAACGGUGAAACUCAAAGGAAUUGACGGGGGCCCGCACAAGCGGAGGAACAUGUGGUUUAAUUCGAUGAUACGCGAGGAACCUUACCCGGGCUUAAAUUGCAGUGGAAUGAUGUGGAAACAUGUCAGUGAGCAAUCACCGCUGUGAAGGUGCUGCAUGGUUGUCGUCAGCUCGUGCCGUGAGGUGUCGGCUUAAGUGCCAUAACGAGCGCAACCCUUAUCUUCAGUUACUAACAGGUCAUGCUGAGGACUCUGGAGAGACUGCCGUCGUAAGAUGUGAGGAAGGUGGGGAUGACGUCAAAUCAGCACGGCCCUUACGUCCGGGGCUACACACGUGUUACAAUGGGGGGUACAGAAGGCAGCUAGCGGGUGACCGUAUGCUAAUCCCAAAAUCCUCUCUCAGUUCGGAUCGAAGUCUGCAACCCGACUUCGUGAAGCUGGAUUCGCUAGUAAUCGCGCAUCAGCCACGGCGCGGUGAAUACGUUCCCGGGCCUUGUACACACCGCCCGUCAAGCCAUGGGAGCCGGGGGUACCUGAAGUACGUAACCGCAAGGAUCGUCCUAGGGUAAAAC
rnacentral:rRNA from 1 species